rnacentral:rRNA from 1 species
GUCCACGCCGUAAACGAUGGAUACUAGCUGUUCGGUAGCAAUACUGAGUGGCUAAGCGAAAGUGAUAAGUAUCCCACCUGGGGAGUACGAACGCAAGUUUGAAACUCAAAGGAAUUGACGGGGGCCCGCACAAGCGGUGGAGCAUGUGGUUUAAUUCGAUGAUACGCGAGGAACCUUACCAGGGCUUAAAUGUAGGUUGACAGGCUUGGAAACAGGUUUUUCUUCGGACAACUUACAAGGUGCUGCAUGGUUGUCGU